AGCACUGGAGAAUGUAACUGCAGCCCGGGUCAGUUGCAGGGCAUGUGGUGUACAGUUACUUGCUAGAUUGGGUGAUCUUUGGGUGACACCACGGAACAUAUCACAGCUCCCCGCUCUUCAGUCUUAAUUAGGUGCAGGAGAUCAGAAUCCCACCCCCGUGUGUUGCCACUGAGCAGACCCUGAGUGCCAACGGAGAGGAGGAGGAGGUCAGGCUUGGCCAAGUUGAAAUAAUUAACACGCCAGAGAGGAGACAGCCAGCCCUCUAGAAUGGGAGGCCAUUCCACCUGCGUGCUCAUCGCCUCUCACAAGCUACGUGUGGCCGUUACGUAGACUGAACUGGAUGUGCUGGUUUUGGCAUUCCUUCCUGGAGCGUUGGCGGCGGAGAAUGGCUGUUGUGUUUCCACCCCAGAGGUGGCUGCACUUCAGUGAUGGCGAGAGAGAGAUAAAUGGCCAUAUAAGAGCUCCAGAUAACAUUGACUCAAGAGUGAUCACUGAGAAGAGGGGACGUGGAGAAGAUCCCUGGAAAGAGACUCCAUCUACUUAAAUUAGCAGCUCUGCUAUGCAAUAUGCUCCUGAUGACUUGCUGUGCAUGACCUGAUCCCUCUGAGCGGCUUGGGGAGUAUGUACACUUAUCCCGUCUCUUUUCCUGGCAUGUGUCUCUCUGACCCUGGAGGCUCCUCUGCGCAUGGAGCUGCCAAUAGGCGGUGAGUCAUUUUUGAACAUGCCUGGAUCCAGAAGGCAUCAUGUGGCUGAUGAUUCAUGCAUCUCACCUGUUUGAAUGUUUAAAUAAACUCUUAUUCCAAGGGCAUGUAGCUGUGAGGGAGCCAUCCUGGGUUUCUCUGAAUGUGGAAUUGCAUUUCUAUUUGGUUGCAUGUAUUUAUUUCUAGGGGGUAGUUUCCAUAAUGUAU